rnacentral:rRNA from 1 species
UGGCUUAAUUUGACUCAACGCGGGAAAUCUCACCAGCCCCACACAUAAAGAGGAUUGACAGUUUGAUAGUUCUUUCUUGAUUCUAUGGUUGGUGGUGCAUGGCCGUUCUUAGUUGGUGGAGUGAUCUGUCUGGUUAAUUCCGUUAACGAACGAGAUCUUAUCCUGCUAAUUAGACAAUUGUACGAUUCUCUUCUUAGAGGGACUCUUAAUCAUCCAGAUUAAGGAAGUUU